rnacentral:rRNA from 1 species
UACGUAGGGAGCAAGCGUUGUCCGGAAUCAUUGGGCGUAAAGCGCGCGUAGGUGGCUUCGUAAGUCCGUUGUGAAAACUCGAGGCUCAACCUCGAGACGCCGAUGGAAACCAUCGAACUAGAGUCCGGAAGAGGAGAGUGGAAUUCCUGGUGUAGCGGUGAAAUGCGCAGAUAUCAGGAAGAACACCCGUGGCUAAGGCGGCUCUCUAGUACGGUACUGACGCUGAGACGCGAAAGCGUGGGGAGCGAACAGG